rnacentral:rRNA from 1 species
UUUGGUGGCGAUAGCGAAGAGGUCACACCCGUUCCCAUGCCGAACACGGAAGUUAAGCUCUUCAGCGCCGAUGGUAGUCGGGGGUUUCCCCCUGUGAGA